ACGCGAGCCUCACAGCAGUGUUGCCAAGUCCGCGGUUUUCCGACGUAACUGGUCUACUUUGACACUGUUGACGCGUUGAAGCGAACACAAUAGCGCAAUAUUUAGCCCCUGGAAAGCUAAGUUUACCAAGGGAAACCCAGCCCCCCAAAAAAGGGCAUUCUACCUCCCAGGAACGCGAUUUUUAAUGGGGAACGUGUUGGGAGGUUUUGUUGUAAAAACUUGACAAUCCUGCUAACAGUUGACACGCUAACGUUAGCUCAGCAUUUUUGUUGUUUAAUCUCAAAUUGAGGCAAAACUAAUCUUCUUUCUUUCUUUCUUUCUUUCAGCAAGUCAGCACACUGUACAGUUUCUUUCAGAGAUAUGUUUCAUACAUAGAGUUAUUUAUCUGAGGUAAUUGACGUUACUGACAGAAUAUGCGCAAAGUUUUAAAUUUGCCUUUGGACCAAAAUAGUAACUUGUUACAAUAAUGACUUAUUUUGGUCACAGAUCAGUGACCGUGUUGGUUCGACCAAUUUAACCCUCGUCAUUUUCUUUUCAGAAUGAGUGGAAGUGGGGCACAGUCUUUGUUUGUCCUCAAUCUUCCGGAGCUGAGGAAUUUAUGUUGUGUAAAUCUGUUCUCUCCGAACAAUUGCAAUGAAUGAGAAAUGAGAGACAAACAAGUGAAUGCAUGCAGAUGAAAAGACAAUAAAAUGUGUGCUGAUUAAAAAACUAUAGUUUUUGUUUUUCACAUAUUUAUUAGAUUUGUGAUAGAUUAUAUUUUGAGGCUUGGCAUUAUUGACCCAUACUUGAUUUAACUGCUUGAAACACUCCAUAAUUAACUGUACUUUCUUUUUGCAAUUUUAUGGAUUUUUCUUAGUUGAGGCCAUGGCUAUGCAUGCAAAGUUUAGUUUUGGAAAGGCUGUACAAUAACAUGCCGGUUUUCAUGCAGCUCAUUAAAAAUCAGCACUUUGAAAAAAAAAAAAAAUGUAAAAACUUACAUUUACAUUUAGUCAUUUUGCAGAUGAUUUUAUCCAAAGUGACUUACAAUUGGGGGAUACAUAAAGCAAUUCUUCUUAAUAAAGACGCAAACAGACACCAAGUCACAGACCAAGUUUUAGACAUUGUUCAAAUAAGUACAAGAUUUUAUUUUUAUUUAUUUUUUUAUGAUGAAGUCCAGUAGCUUCAAAAGAGAUGAGUUUUCAGCUGUCGCUUGAAAAUUGUCAGGGAUUCAGCAUUCCUGAAAGGGGCGGGAAGAUCAUUCCACCAGCUAGGAACGGUGAACGAGAAUGUUCUGGAAAAUGAUUUGGAGCCUCUCUGUGAUGGUACCACAAGUCGUCGCUCGCUCACUAGUGGAUCUCAGACUUCUGGAGGGGAUAUACAGUAGAUUUGUAGUAGUGAGUGGAAGUAGGCAGGUGCGAGCCAUAACUGGUACCCAGUGCAAGGAGAUAAACCCUUACGAAAAAUAAGCAUGGUUUUAUUAUAGUAAAACUGUAGUAACCCAUGUUUUUUUGGCUUAUUGACUGCCAUUUGUAUAACCAAAGAUUUACUGCAUAUACAAUGGUUAAACUAUGGUUAAUAAUUUGUGAUUACCAUGGUUUAACUAUAGUAACCAUGGUUUUUUGGUUUUAUUUGUACUAAAACCAUGGUUAAUUUUUGUAAGGUAAGAGAGGUAUAACAUGGGCUCUUUUGGGUUCAUUGCAAGACCAGUCUGAAUAAUUUGUAGAGGUUUGAUUGUGCUUGAUUGAAGUCUAGACAGAAGAGCAUUGCAGAAGUCCAGCCUAGAAAUGACAAGGGCCUGGUCAAGAAGUUAUGCAGCAUGCUCUGUUAGAAAGGCCCUGAUCGUUCUGUUAAUAAAACCAAGAAAGAAAAGAAAAGGAAGCAACAACAACAAUUUACCCAAUUUACCCUCACAAGGGUUUGAGAACCAAGACAAGGCAGAUGCUAUCUACACCAAUUAAAUGUAGAAAAUGGUAAAAAUAAAAUUUAAGUACCACUAAUGAUGCAUACUGUAUAAUUUAUACAAUAUGUAGUUUUGUGCGCCUCAGUGUGCAUAAAUAGGCAUAAUAAAAAAUAAAAAAAUCACGGACAUUUUUAUCAAAAAUAUUAGGGUCAAGUUGACCUCUAUUACAAAGGAAGGAACUACUCAAUAUGAGUUAAUAAUGUAUUACUGUUAUAUUUUAAAUCUCUUACAAGUUGCAAUAGAUUUUAUUCUUAUAGGAUAUAUUCUUAAUAUUUUUCAUUUUGUUGAUUUUUGGCAAAUUGCAUGGUCUGUUUGAGCUCCAGCACAAAAGAGGUACCCCGAUUUUCAUCACAACAGCAGGGUUAAGUAUGUAAAACAAUAUCACUACAGUUUUGGCCUGUGAAAUCAGCUGAACAGACCACGAGGCAAAGCUUUAUAUUUCAUUAUCUUGACCUCUGAAGUGACAAAGGCUUUUACUUCUGUCUUGCAGGGAGCUUGUUCUGAGGUCCUGUGUCGGGGUAUUUUGGGCACAUCACUGUAUGACUAUUUGAUUUUACAAGAGUGGUAUUAUCCAGGCCUUUGCACACAAACAUGGUCUACAGGUGAGUUUUAAGUUAUUUUUCUGAGAAUCUGUUUUAUCCAAAAAAAAAAAAAAAGACUGAAAUGUUCAUGUUGCUCCAUGUGUUUGGUCUGACACUACACUAUUAACUUGCCUGAAUAGUGAGUGUCUCCACUGCAUCAGAACAUAACAUACACUACAGUUAAAAAGUCCAGGGUCAUAAGGACUUUAUAUACAUCUUUUUUUUUUUUUUUAAGUCUCCUGCAAAAGAAGUCACCAAGGUAAAUAAUUAUAAACAGUAUUAUAGUGAAAAAAAAUCAGAUUUGGCCCACUUUUGCCCUCAGUGUUAACAUAGCAUUUCUGCUUCUCAAAAUCUCUUUCUUUUUGUCCCGCAGUUCAACCCUUCUCAAAGGGUAUUUCCUGUGAUUCUGCAGAAGUGUUUGUCUUAUUCUGUGAUUGCUAAACUGGCCCCCAAAUGGAACAAAGCAGGCCAAUAUGUUGUAGCAAGUGAAAACAGUAUACUUACAAAAGCAUGAAACAUUUCCAUGAUUCUAGAAGUAAAAUAAAAAAAAAAAACCAAGCUGAAUUUUGCCUGUGCAUGGUACAUACAAUAGAAAUUGACAAUUAUUGCUCUCUGAAUGUGUAGGCAGUCAUCCACUAGUGUAGGUUGAGGGUAAUGUUCACUGUGUGGCUGAUUUAUCUGGUGUGUAAUCGUGUCUUUGCUUCACCUUGAUCUGUCUUUCUAGUGCAGAGUAAUUAAUGUAGUGUAAUAGACUGGAUGAUCUUUGCUGAACUAAUAUUUUAUCACCUUAGCUCAAGGUUAGCAAGUGUCAGUUCAGCCAAGUUUAACAGAAAUGAGCACACACAUUGAAUUUUGGAGUUCACCAAUUACUAAUUAAUGGCAAUUAAUCUGGAAAGUGUGUGUGAUGCUUCUACACAAGAGUCAAUUAGCCGGUCAUUCAGUAUUGUCUCCUAUCCAAGAUUGAGUGCUUAUUAGAUAUUAAGUUAAAAUGAGUGCAUGUUAAGAUGAUCAGAUAGUUUGAUGGCCUUGUGUUGGAGGCUGUGCCUUGAAAACAUGUGUGGUGCCAUCCUUGAUCUCAGAUAAAGCUGCAUUCAUGGCUCUUUUGGAAGUCUUCGGAGUUCUCUAUCAAAGUUCAGCAAAGACAAUUCAUCAUUAUCACAGCUCUCCUGGUGAAUAUGUCAGGGUUGUAAAAUCACGUCAUCACAAACUCUUCUUAAUGAUGGUCGCAACACUCCGCCAUCACAUAGUUUUUAAUGAAUUACACAGAAAUCUCAGGGCAGUUUGUUUCAUCAUCUCAACAGGGAUUUUUCCUUCUUUCCCAGGAAAAGAUUUCAUCAGUGACUCUGGAAAACUCAGUGCAGUUGGUAGGUCGGAGGCGUUUGUAUACUUUGGCACGAGACGCUGUCGUUUGUGUUCACAUGGUCAGACUCCGAUUUAAGGAGUGACUAAGGUUCAGAACUUAAAUGUAUAUAUAUCUAAAAAAAAAAACAUUUGAAUGUGUUCCUACUAGUGAAAACAACAUAAUUUUGUUCUGUUUUGCUCACUGUUAGCCCAUUUCUGAAUACUGUACUCCUUUUGCUUUAUCCCAGAAACACGUAUGCUUUCUGAGUCACAUUUUAAGCCCCGGUUUAUCAUGUUUUGCUCCUCCCUGAAGCCUAGAUGCCUUCCAGAGUUCACUCAGAAACUGAUGGUGACACAGACACGUGUUCUCAUUCUCACUGACUCAUGCUCACGUCUGUACUCUUGUAUAUUCUUCCACAGUGCUUGAACUGAGUCUCACUGAGACUCAACUGUGUGUCAGUGUGGAAGCUAACACAGGCAGACUUCCUCCAGCUGUGUCUGGAUAUCAGCUGCCCUCAGUAAGUGAAGAAGAGGAACUCGGCUACUCCUGUGUGUACUUUAAACCAAUAGGUGACAAACUGUUCACGUCCUUUAGAAACUGUUCUAGUGUAUGGGGAGUUCCCUGAUAAUAAUACACAGAUUUCCGCUAUGUUUAGCACAAUAUUUUCAUAUUUUCAACUUCUCAAAAGCACUGAAUUAGAAUCUUUUUUUUGCAUGUGCUUAUUAUUUUUUAUCAUUAAUCUAAAGUCAUUGUUGCUUGUAAAAUAAAUUGUUUUUCAGACAUAAAUUAUACUGCUGGUUUAAAAAUGUAAUGUGAAAAGUGGUGCAGCAGUCUGUGUUGAUUGACAUUCAUGCAACAUGAUAAUGACACCUAGUGGACAUGAACCAGAUAGGAACAGUAGUUGAGAAAACUCAGACAUCACUUAAUGCCAUCAUGAGAAACAGUUUGCAUUCUGCAACAUUUCACACAUUAGUAUGACACACCGUUGCCGCCUGAUCCUUAUUACAUUGCAUUAAUUUCAUUGGUGAUGUUAAAUGUUUAAUCCAAUUUUGGAAAAAAUCCUGAUGCUAGUACAAUCAAAUGAUGGAUCAAGAAUGGGUGUUAAAGAUGAUUUCUUCUGGUUGCUUCAAUGUGUUUUUAGUGUGUUUAUAUGUCAGUGUCAGGUGUUUAAAAAGGCUGCAUUUAUUUGAUCAAAAUCGCAGAAAAAAACAGAAAUAAUGUGAAAUAUUAUUCCAAAUUAGAAUAACUAUUUUCUGUGUGAAUUUAUUGUAAAAUGUAAUUUGUUUAUGUGAUGCAAAGCUGAAUUUUCAGCAUCAUUUCAAGCACACUUCAAGCACACGUCAGUACUCCAGUCUUUCAGUAAUCAUCUGCUCAAGAAACUGCUUUAGCUGCGUAACUUUAGAAAUACUGUAAAUUUUCAUCAAUUAAAUUAAUCUAUGCUGAAUGAAAAUAUUAAGUUUUUUAAUGUAGUGUACAUAAAGAAAAUCUGCUUACAGUACUAUAAAGACAAUAUGCAUGCUCCAUACGGAACAAAAAAAGACAUCGUAGGAGACUUCAUCUGUGUUUCAAUCCCAGUGCAAUGAGCCCCAGAACUCACCCUAUUCCCAAACAUGUUUCUCAUUAUUAAUAUUACAUAACACCCAUUUUCACUUUAAGUGCUAGGUCUCUGCUCAUAAUGAAUCAGAGCAGCAAUUACAUCACACAUUGCAAGGACAAAUUAAAGAUUAUUAACGCACCAUACAUAUCUCAUCAUGCUGCGUUUGGAUCUUAUUUAUAUAUAACCGCAUUGUUCUUUGUGUUUGUGUUUUUUUUUUUAUGUUGGCAGUCAGAUAUAAAUAUCCUUCUUGACUUCCUGCUCAGAUAUCCAUCAUGCUGUGUGCACUCUCAGCCGGUGCAGUGCAUUCCCAGAGUGGACCUGCAGGGGGGGCUUGGACCCUUCAUAUCAGAUCUGCAGGCCGGAGAGUUUUCAUGUGCAGAUGACCUGCAAGCCUUGCUACUACAGCAAUGAACUGAAAACACCACACACACACACACACACGUCUAUACACACAAACAUACCAUCACUUCGCUUACUCUCCUGCUUAAAACAAUAAAGUAGCUAUUAAUUGAAUCUGACAUCAAGUACUGCACUCUGCUGCUGUGUAUUACUUCUGGCAUUGCCCAGUUUGUCAUGGCUGUGCUCAUCAGUGGCACAGACGCAGCUGGAUGUGUUGCUUUAUGGAUGGUCCAAAGCCACUGAGAUGCAUGUGUUAUCCAGAUUUUGCAUUCAUGUUGUGAAGAAAGUGGAUUAUGCAGACAGUAGGAAUCUUAUGAUAUAAUAUAUUAAAGCCUUCUUCAUAUCAAAACUGCAUGCCCAAUACGGUGAAUCAAAUUUAAAAGAAAUGGUUAUCGGUAUGAUUAUCGACAGAUGAUAUUUUCAUUCCCUUUUACAAUCUAUGUUGGAAAAAAAAUCCAUAUUUUAUAAGUUAAAUUGAAUUAUUUAAAUGUAUUAAAAUUGUAAUGUACAAGCAGUUGUCUU